GACGAACGCUGGCGGCGUGCUUAACACAUGCAAGUCGAACGGUGAAGCGCCUUCCUUUUUGGUGGGUGUGGAUGAGUGGCGAACGGGUGAGUAACACGUGAGUAACCUGCCCCCUUCUUCUGGAUAACCGCAUGAAAGUGUGGCUAAUACGGGAUAUUCUGGGUCUGUCGCAUGAUGGGUCUGGGAAAGAUAUUGUUUCGGUGGGGGAUGGGCUCGCGGCCUAGCAGCUUGUUGGUGGGGUGAUUGCCUACCGAGGCGGUGACGGGUAGCCGGCCUGAGAGGGUGGACGGUCACACUGGGACUGAGACACGGCCCAGACUCCUACGGGAGGCAGCAGUGGGGAAUAUUGCACAAUGGGCGCAAGCCUGAUGCAGCGACGCCGCGUGAGGGAUGGAGGCCUUCGGGUUGUGAACCUCUUUCGCCAGUGAAGCAGGCCUGCCUCGUUUGUGGGUGGGUUGACGGUAGCUGGAGAAGAAGCGCCGGCGAACUACGU
rnacentral:rRNA from 1 species